AGGCCGAAGAGGCGCCAUGUUGGUUAAGGGCAGGGCCGUGGCCGUUUAGGACUUUUUCAGAAGAAAGCUAGCAAAGCUCUAGCGUUUUCACAUAUUCCAGAAGCCUCUCUUGGCGUAGCACUGAAGGGUUUUUCCAUGACGCCUCCCGGGGAGGCCGGGCGUGAGAAAGCAGCCCUGGGGUCGUGAACUUCGCGGACGUGGCCGUGUACUUCUUCUGGGGGACUGGGGGUGUCGGCGGCCAGCGCAGAGCGCCCUGUACCGGGACGUGAUGUGGGAGACGUACGGCCGACUGGGCGCGCUCUGAUUUUCAGGCCCCAAACCCGCUUCUAUUUCUUGGGUGGAAGGAGAGGUGGAGGCCCAGGAUCCAGAGGGUGAGACCCCAGCAGCUGUCAUCAGAGACGGGGGAAAGGUAACGGGAUCCGGGAAUGACAGUGAGGAAAAAGAACUGAACAAGAGUCCAAAACAAAGAGACGGCGCAUGAGGAAGUGUCUCUCGAGGAGUGGUUACCAUCCAGCAGGCCACCUGGCCCCAGUCACAAAGCCACCUGCCCAGAGCUCUACUGGACUCUGGGAAGAGCCCGAUCUAGCCUUGGUUCAAGGACAUUACAACCCACAAAUCACCCUACUCUUGCCCAAACUGUGGCCACAACUUCAGCUACCCCUCCCUCCUGGCCAACCUGGGGAGCGGCCCUGCCAGUGUGACCAAUGCCAGGCUCGUCUCUCCCAGUGCAAACAUCUGCUCCAGCAUCAGCUCGUCCACACAGAGCAUUCUGCUUUCUGGACUGUAGCUCUCCUGUUCCUCAGAGAUGAGAUCCUCUGGACGCAAGAGCCUAUGGAAGGAGCCUGCACCCUCUCCGAGGACCCUCUGAAAUAGAGGGCACACCUUGGGCCCAUCCCCAGUAGGGGAAGCUCAUCCAAGGAUUCUUUUAGCCAGUGCAGAUAUUCACAUGUUCUCUGGAUUUUACACCUUCUGAAUAAAGAUGUGUUCUUGGACCACA